NNNNNCGGAGCUGGCCCUGCGGGGCCCGGCGCUCAGAAGUGAUGAAUUGAUCAGAUAGACGAGGCCGGGCUUGUCCCCGGCCACUGAUUAUCGAGGCGAUUCUGAUCUC
rnacentral:scRNA from 1 species